AGCUAGCAAAGCUUGGAGAAGCCUGAACAAGCUGGUCACCCUCACUGUCAAAGACUUUCAUUUCCACGGAAGGGAAACUGAUGACCUGGGACCAUUGGAAGAACUAUAUGGAUGAAGCAGUUCUAAGGACUGCAAAGCUGCGCAGCGGGAACCAACUCCCUACUGCAGUUAUCAUUCGCCUUUAAAGUCUCCGUGUCAAGACACACAGAAAGUGUCUACACCAAAUGGACAAACGUUCCAGGGGGUUUCCUUCCCAACUGCUUAUUAAGAAAUCCAUCCUCUUCACAUCAGUGGGACUUCAUUCUACUCAAAUUCCAUCAAUUCCCAAUAGCUCCAACACGAGGACAAACCCUAGGAGAUGAGGGUGCCAUCUCAAGUCUCUUAUUUUGGUUAUUUAACUGAAUAAGAAAAUGUGUAUAACUGCAGCAAA
rnacentral:lncRNA from 1 species